GGGGACACCUGGAUCCGGAAGGCGGGGGCCGGGGCUCCGACGCCCGUGUCCCAAAGGGCUCUGGAGGAUGGCUGGUACUCCUAGGUCCCCGGGGAGGGGGCUGCAGAAUUCUGCGUCUUGGGCGAGUACGAACCACUGAUCAGCAGCUGUCCAUCCCAUCUAUCCAUCCAUUCAUACACUUGUCCAUUCCUCCCUAUUCCCCUCUUUACCCCGUGCCUCAGUUUCCCCCUUCUCACCAGAUGCGUACCGGCCCCCCCAGUGCAGAUGUGGCCGCCGCCAGCCCUCGCCUGUGUCUCGC